CUGCUACACCAGCAACCCCCACUGAGAAUCAUGAGAUCGUGCUGAAAAAUGAGAUUAUACAUGAACAUAAUAAUGAGAUGGCGCCGGACGAUGAGAUGAUACAUGAACAUAGUCAUGAGAUGGUGCCGGAAAAUGAGAUGAUACAUGAACAUAAUCAUGAGUUGGUGCCGGAAAAUGAGAUGAUGCAUGAACAUAAUCAUGAGAUGGUGCAGGAACAUGAGAUGACACAUGAACAUCACAUAGUGCUUGGCAAUGAGAUAGUCCCUGGCGAUGAAAUGGUUCGAGACAAUGAGAUGAUCCCACUAAAUGAGAUGGUCCUUGCGGAGCCACAACCAAACUAUAUCGAAACACCUCCAAAUGAUCUAGAAACACAACCCAGCAAGCGUAGGAAAAAGAAGUCAAUAGUUUGGGAACACUUCACCAUUGAAAACGUUGGUGCUGGAACUAGAAGGGCAUGCUGUAAGCAGUGCAAGCAAUCAUUUGCGUAUAGUACAGGUUCAAAAGUAGCAGGCACUAGUCACCUGAAACGCCAUAUUGCAAAAGGAGCCUGUCCAGUUGUCCUACGUAACCAACAGAGUAAUCAAUCCAGCCCAUAUAAUACACCUUCUAAGAUGAGUGGAUAUGGGGGUAGUAACGAUGCGCCAAAACGACGUUAUCGGACUGCUUCUUCUCCUUACCUUGCUUUUGAUCCAGACCGGUGCCGCCAGGAGAUCUCUAGGAUGAUCAUCAUGCACGACUAUCCUCUUCACAUGGUUGAGCAUCCAGGCUUUCUUACUUUUGUCCAGCAUCUUCAACCUCGUUUUGAUAUGGUGAGCUUCAACACCGUGCAAGGAGAUUGUGUGGCAACUUAUCUUAAAGAGAAGCAAGCCAUUCAGAAAGUGAUUGGGGGAGUGCCUGGGCGAAUCUGCUUAACACUUGAUAUGUGGUCCUCCUGCUACACUGUCGGCUAUGUGUUCAUAACUGGGCAGUUUAUUGACAGUGAGUGGAAAAUUCACAGGAAAAUACUCAAUGUCAUCAUGGAACCAUAUCCAGAUUCUGACACGGCUUUCAGCCACGCUGUUGCCGCUUGCCUUUCUGACUGGAGUAUGGAGGGGAAGUUAUUUUCUGUCACUAUUAAUCAACCAAUCGGUGAUGCAGCUGUUGAUAAUCUUAGAGCUUUACUCUCAGUGAAGAACCCUCUUGUGCUCAAUGGUCAGUUGUUGGUCGGAAAUUGUCUUGCUCGAACUUUGAGCAGCAUUGCCCAAGAUGCGUUUCAUUUUUUGCAUGGAACUGUUAAGAAAGUAAGAGAUAGCGUAAAGUAUGUGAAAACAUCAGAAUCUCAUGAGGAAAAGUUUAUUGAGCUCAAACAGCAGCUUCAGGUGCCAAGCACAAAGACGUUGGCGCUUGAUGACCGAACACAAUGGAACACAACAUAUGAGAUGUUGUUGGCUGCGUCAGAGCUAAAGGAAGUAUUUUCAUGCUUGGAUACAUCUGAUCCUGAUUACAAGGAUGCCCCAUCUGUUGAAGAUUGGAAGCAAGUUGAGACUCUGUGUACUUACUUGAAAAUCCUCUUUGACACUGCCAAUCUUCUGACUGCACCAACAAUUCCAACAACCAAUACAUUCUUUCAUGAAGCAUGGAAGAUUCAAUUGGAACUGGCUCGUGCUGCAGCAAGUGAAGAUCCAUCCAUUAGCAGCCUUACCAAAACAAUGCAAGAGAAGUUCGAUAAAUACUGGAAGACUUGUUGUCUGAUGUUAGCUAUUGCCGUAGUAAUGGAUCCACGCUUCAAAAUGAAACUCGUUGAAUUCAGUUUUACGAAAAUAUAUGGGGAAGAAGCUGCUACCUAUGUGAAGAUUGUUGAAGAGGGAAUCCACGAGCUCUUCCUUGAAUAUGUGGCACUUCCUCUGCCUCUGACCCCAACUUAUGCUGAAGAGGCAAAUGGUGGGGCUAUAAAGCAGGAGAACGCCCAAGACCUCGGUGCCUCUAGUAAUGGGGCCGGACUUACAGAUUUUGAUGCCUACAUUAUGGAGACCACAAGCCAGCAGUCAAGGUCAGAACUCGAUCAAUAUUUGGAAGAAUCCUUGUUGCCUCGUGUUCACGAGUUUGAUGUUGUGGGGUGGUGGAAACUUAACAGAAUGAAGUACCCUACUCUAUCGAAAAUGGCUCGUGAUAUCUUGUCAGUUCCAGUUUCAACCGUUCCAGCUGAUUCUGUAUUUUGCACGGUAGGCAAAGAGAUGGAUCAGUACAGGUGUUCCUUGCGACCUGAGACCGUGGAGGCCCUCAUCUGUGCCAAGGACUGGCUUCAGAACGCAUCAGUAGAUACUUUACACGCGCCAAUUAAAAUGGAAGUCCCAAUUUAGAUUGUUGCUGUAAUGUUUUGAGUACAUGUCUAGAAUGGUAUUUCGUAGCUGACUUCAUUUUCCUUUUAGAUUGUAAAUUUUUUCUUUUUUGAGGAUUGACUUUCUCGUGUCAUAAUUCGGAACCAUUAAGCUCUUUAUGUGAGAAAUCUAUUCGACAUUUGCAAUCUCCUUUUUCAUUUCUUAUCUAUGAGCUGUACAGAAAACAGCAAUGCCUUAUGUUUUCUGUUGUUUUUCAUUAUUAACUUGACUGGCUGGUUAGUUGUUCCAAAUUUCGAUACUAUAAAGUCACACCUAUAAUAUGCAUUUGAUUCGAAAAACUACAUAAAUAAAACGAAAACUAUCCAAAGCUCGAAAUCCUUUAUUUCUUGAGCAGUGACGUACGCUGAAUUUUUCGUAAAGAAUAAGAAAAGUCUUUGGGAUUAUGAACUAGAGCUUCGUCUAAUCAACAAAAGCCUUAUGAAAGUCCUAUGUCAGAGAGAGAGAGAGAGAGAGAUUAUUUAAACAUAUAGGAUUAUUUUUCUUUUUGUGAAAUGUCAAAUUAAUCAAUCAGCCUCCUAUUUUAUACUAAUUGAAAUACUGCAAAUCGUAAAAUUUUAUCUUCAUCCCACUUUCAACCAUUUUCACAAAACAAUUCUUUAACCUGCAUAUAAAUUAGUAAGUAUUACUUUACUUGAAAUACUCUUCGAACAAAGUUUUCAAUAAUUUAUCAGUCUUUCAAAAAUGAAGUUCAAAAUUUUCAAAUACUAAUGGUCAAUAAUGAGAAAUAUUAUUUGUAGCCGAACUGCAUUGCUCUGAUUCCUCCAUUUGAGAAAGAUUCCAUCUGUUGAUACUCUUUUAUGUCCAAAAACAGUACGUACAUUAACUCGAAAGAAUAUAAGAUGCAAAAAUAAAUCUGUAAAAUCAAAUCAUGAUUCAAUUGGUCUUCAAAAAGUCGACAUAUUUUUCUGCAUUUUCCCCCUCUCACCCACUCCAAGAGGGAUCAUUAGUGGUUUCAAUCUUUCUUUCUUACACGUGGCCAUCUUCUCAUUGGUUGGCCAAUGUAAGUUUUUACAUAAUUCGAUUUUAAUGUAAUCAUCUGGUAUUCCACUACCCCGACUAACAUAAAUUCGUAUUCUUUUAUUGGGAAAGUGCUCUUCAUCAAGAGUUUUUUCAUUGUGGGUUCAACCUCGAGAUAUCUCAUUAUAGAUAAAGUAAUACCAUUUAUCCCACCACACUUUUUAUGUCAGUUUUUUUAUUAAAUUACCAAGUAGAUAAAAGAGGAGAUUUACAAUAAACUGGUCGCGUAAAACUUGACAACUCACGAUAAACAUGAGUUGAGCUUAAAUAAGACAACGAUGAUUAAUACAGCUAAUCCCAAUUUGAUUUGAUUGAGCGUAAUUGUUAUUGUACUAAAUAGAUAUUUUUUUUUAACGUAGAGUAUAUAAUUAUUUAUAUAAUUUUUUUUUCUUUUUGUUCUAAUCCCAUGAAGCCUUUGUGAACCAAAAAUACAAGACUUAAGUCCCUCGGCUUGGUGACAAGACUUGAGCAAGUAGUGGUUGGAUCAGAUAAAAUCCCUUUUGUUUCAAAAUUGGAACUUUGCCCCCGCUAUAAUGGGCUAAAUUUGAAAAGAAUUUUUACACUAAUAGCUGAUCGAAUUAACUGUUUACUUUUCUAAGCAUAUACAUAAAUUAUAUAAUAAUUAUAUGCAAUUAUACAUAUAUUAUAUAUAAAUUGUACAUAUGUUAUAUAUUUUUUGGUUAUUUUAAGUUUAAGCGACUAUUUAAUUUAAUAUGAACUUGUCCUAAACUUAUCCCAAUACAAAAGAGUCCUAUUAUCCCCUCAAAUUUAUAUUUUAGCAAUGUAGGCCCCAUCAUAAGUAGAGUCCACUCGAAAUUCCAUUGGGCUACACCCACCUAACCCACCUACCUUACACUAACCAACCAAUAGUAUACCUUGUAAAAAGGUGGGAUGUGGUCUCCGGUCUGUGACAAAACGAGCCACUUGACCAAAAACGGUCCGUAAUAUAACACACAGUUGCUCACCUUAAAUUUACACACACUCAAAUGUAAAAAAUGUACCUGAAAAGUCCAUAUCCAAUACAAUUAAAUGUUUUGAUAUUCGUAUCCAUUAAAAUCCCUUAAAAAAGGUCCAGUUACGUUUCAUCGGGUUCAAGCCCAAUUCUCUCUUUCUCUCUCCUCUCUCUUUCUGAAGCCUAGAUGUGGUUCGCCGGCGGAGGCCCAAACUCCGUUGACCCAAAUUCCGACGAAGCCUUUUUCCAUCUGGGUUUCGCUGCUCAGAAUCUAUAUUAUAGCCCACUCCUUCUGCAUGGGCCCAGGCGAUCAGACCCGGAUCACCUAUAAUUUUGCCAGACCAUCAAAAAUGACUUAAGGAACAAUAGUCACCGCCUCUCCAUGACCGUUACUCAUUUUUUUAGUGUGGUACGACAAUAAAAUAGGAAUUCUGCUCGAAACCUAGAUUUUCGUGUGUCUUCUGCAUGGGCCCGAGCGACCAAACGUGGAUCGCCUAAAAUUUUAUCGACCCAUCAAAAAUGACCUGAGGAACAAUAGUCACCGCCUCGCCAUGACCGUUACUCAUUUUAUUUUAUUUUAGGACAAAAAAAUAAAAUUCUGCCCGAUUCCCAGAUUUUCGCAUUCUAUAGCCACGCAUCUUGCAUUUGCCCGAACGACUGGACCCGUAUCGUCUAAACUUUUGCCGGAGAAUCAAAACAGCCUAAGGAACAAUAGUCACCGCCUCGCCAUGACCGUUACUCGCUUUUUGGCGUUUUAGGGCCAUAAAAUUGAAAAUUCGCCCGAUUUUCAGAUUUUCGUAGGCUAUUGCACAGCCUUCUGCUUAGGCCCGGACGACCGGACUCGGAUCGCCUAAAAUUUCUUCGGCCCAUCAAUCACCACCUAAGGAACAAUAGUCACUACCUCGCCAUGACCGUUACUCGCUUUUUGGCGUUUUAGAUCCAUAAAACUAGAAUUUUGCCUGAUUUCUAGAUUUUAGUAUUCUAUAGCCCACGCCUUCUGUGUGGGCCCGGGCGACCGGUCCAUCAAAAAUGAGCUAAGGAAUAAUAGUCAUCGCCUCGCCAUGACCGUUACUCGUUUUUUGGCAUUUUAAGGCCAUAAAACUGAAAUUCCGCUCGAUUCCCAGAUUUUCAUGUGUAAUAGCCUACGUCUUCUGCAUGGGCCCGGGCGACCUGACCAAUAUCGCCUAAAUUUUUGAUGGCCCAUAAAAAAAAUGACCUAAGGAACAAUAAUCAUCGCCUCACCAUGACCGUUACUUAUUUUUUGGCGUUUUAGGGCCAUAAAUUUGGAAUUCUGCCUGAUUCCUAGAUUUUCGUGUGAUAUAGGCCACACGUUCUGCAUGGGCCCGGGCGAUCGAACUGGAUCGCUUAAAAUUUCUACGGACCAUCAAAUACAACGUAAGGAAUAAUAUUCACCGCCUCUCCAUGACCGUUACUCAUUUUUUGCCGUUUUAGGGCCAUAAAACUAAAAUUUCGCCCGAUUUCCAGAUUUUCGUAUGCUAUAGACCACGCCUUUUGCAUGGGGUCAGGUGACCGAACCCGGAUCACCUAAAAUAUUGACAGACCAUAAAAAAUGACCUAAGGAACAAUAGUCAGUGCCUCACCAUGACCGUUACUCUUUUUUUUUUUUAGUGUGGUAGGGCUAUAAAACUAGAACUCAAUUCCUAGAUUUUCGUAUGCUAUAGCUCUUGCCUUCUGCAUGGGCCCUGGCGAUCGGAUGUGGAUCGCCUAAAAUUUUGUCUGCCCAUCAAAAAUGACCUAAGGAACAUUAAUCACUGCCUAGUCAUGACCGUUACUCAUCUUUUGGCAUUUUAGGACAUAAAACUGGAAUUCUGACGAUUCCUAGAUUUUCGUGUGCUGUAGCCCAUGCAUUAUGAAUUGACUCGUGCGAUCGGUCCCAGAUCGCCUAAAAUUUUGCGAGACCAUCAAAAACUACGUGAAUAACAAUAGUCAUCUCCUCGCCACGACCGUUACUCGUUUUUGGCGUUUCAAGGCCAUAAAACUGGAAUUUCGUCCAAUUCCCUGAUUUUCGUGUGCUACACGUUCUGCAUAUGCCCGGCCGACCAGACUUGGAUCGCCUAAAAUUUGCCGGACCAUCAAUAUUUAUAUAAGAAAUAAUAGUUAUCGCCUCGCCAUAACCGUUACUCAUAUUUUGGCGUUUUAGGGCCAUAAAAAUAGAAUUCUGCCAGAUUCUCAGAUUUUCGUGUGCUAUAGCCUACGCCUUCUGCAUGGGCUCAGGCGACCAAAACCGGAUCACCUAAAAUUUUUUUGGUCCAUCAAAAAUGACCUAAGGAACAAUAGCCACCGCCUCGCCAUGACCGUUACUCAUUUUUGACAUUUUAGGGCCACAAAAUUGGAAUUUCUCCUGAUUCUUAGAGUUUCAUGUGCUAUACCCUACGCCUUCUGCAUGGGCCCGGGCGACCAGACCCGGAUCACCUAAAAUUUUUUCGGAUCUUAAAAAACUACCUAAGGAACAAUAGUCACCGCCUCACCAUGAUCGGUACUCGUUUUUUGGUAUUUUAGGGCCAUAAAACUGGAAUUCCUCCUGAUUCUCAGAUUUUCGUGUGCUAUAGCCCACGCCUUCAGCAAGGGCCUGACGACCAAAUCCGGAUCUCCUAAAUAUUUGUGGGACCAUAAAAAAUGACCGAAGGAAUAAUAGUCACUGCCUCGUUAUGACCGUUACUCUUUUUUGGUAUUUUAGGACAAUAAAAGUGGAAUUCCGCCUGAUUCCCAGAUUUUCGUGUGCUAUAACCCACGCCUUCUACAUGGUCUCGAGCGAUCGGACCCAGAUCGCCAAAAACUUUGCCGGGCCAUCAAGAAUAACCUAAGAAACAAUAAUCACUGCCCUGCCAUGACCGUUGUUGAUAUCCAAUUUUGUCCUCAUAUUUUUAUAAAUAUCCUAUAUACUUUUAAAAUAUCAUUCCUGCAUCAUCACCAAUUUACAAGAGUCAUAUAAAUACUUUCUGUAAUUUUUCAUAAUUUUUAAAACUUUAAAAUUUAUUUUCCUGCAUCUAAAUUAUUCAAAUAUUUAUUAAUUACUUCAAAUUAUUUUGCGAUGACUUAAUCACAACUACAUGUAUGUUUUAUAAUAUUUUACUUCAUUUUCUAUAAUUAUAUUUGCAUCUUUAUGCUAAUUACACAUUUUUGCAGUAAUAGCCUACAUUUUGUAAUUAAUUAUAUUUAUUAUUUUAUUUAGAGCUAAAAUAACUUUUUACAUAUUUACAGCCUUCAACUAUUAUUUUAAAGUACUUAUGUUCUUAAAUAAUAUUUUUUAUACUUAUUUAACUAUUUUAUUAAAUUAUUUCCCCUUAAUUUCUUAUAUUUAAAAGCCAGCCCAAUGCUAAGCCAAUUUUUGGACCAAUUAAUGGCCCAAACACCCCAUACCUUAGCCCAAUCUAUCCUGGCCCAAACCAAACGGCCCCUUUAUUCCGACCCGAUCGGGACCCGUCUUAUCGACCCGCCCCACCUUCUUUUAAUCUUGGCCGUUGAUCUCAAAUGAUCAACGGCCUAAAAUAAAACCCUCACUCUCCUUAUAUCCUUCACCCAAACCCUAGAGACCAUUUCCCCCACCCAGCCGCCUCUGCAUUCCCUCAUCUCUCCACUCUCACACUAAACCCUAGUUGACCAUGUAGAUCCUUUCUUAUUCUUUCCUUAUACGCAUUCAUACGCGGGUUGUACUUACCUUUCUUACUACUAUCACUCAUUUAUGGCAACUUUCGUUACCAUUGCACUUAUGGAAAACUCAAUUCUCACAAAUCUGCCUUUGAUUCUAUGGUUAUGGGUGCGAUUGUCAUUCUAUACACUGAUGAAGAGAAAAAUUUCUCUUGUAUAUGGUAUAUCUCCGUUGAUUCCGUCGUGAUUAGGGCUUGUGAACGAUUUGCCCUGAGUUAGAUUCUAACUAGGGUUUGGAUUCCGAUUCUUUUUUUACUAGUUCUAUUAUUGAUUGCAUGUGAUAUUUUCUUUCCUUAUUUUGUGCUUAAUUGACUGUCUUAUAUGUUUGUUCGUUCAACUUCUACCACUAUAUAAACCCCCCAUUCCCGUUCCUCUCAAAAGCUUAAUGAUUCAUUACUUAACUACUGUUACCACUACUCUGAUUCUUCUAUACUUUCUGCACUCUUGGCUCUUGGCCGGCUGAAAGCCAAGGCUACUGAAUUUCGAUUAACUGACCUUCUUAGUGCGAGCACUGCUCGAGGUUCGUCUGAAACCCUUGGGAACUCUGACGCGCUGAGUUUUGGGUUCUGCUUCUCUCUCUGCUGUCAACGGUUGAAAUAUUGUUGGAAUUAUUCUUCUUGUUUGCCCAUUUGUUAAUUCGCAACUGGUAAGUGUCUUUGGCUUUGUCAAUUUCAUUCCUUCUCGUUGUGUUCAUGUUUGUACAUCUAUGUCACUUAAAAUUUAUGAAUGUGAAUGCUAUUGUGUUACCCCUGUCAUUUUAUGACUCAGAAUAAUUUUAGCAUCUGAACUUGUCCAACUUCAGUCUCUGAUGUAUGCCUACUGUAUGUGUUCAGCGUGAAUGAUUCUCACUACCUGAAGCAUGCCUAGCCUAAUGUGUUUUUGUGUUUUUGAAUGCCUGAGUUUAUCUCCCUGCCUUGUUCUGUAUCUUUGUGAUAAAUCAACUCAUGUGUUCUAAUUCCUAUUGGAUUAUUCAUGUGUACUUAAUACCAUACUAGAGUUAGUUCUUAGCCAUGUUGUUAGCCAAACAUAUUGCCCUGCUGAUUGUGAACUUUAAAGUGUGUUCCCUGCUUGACUUAAUCCCAUGCUGUCUAGUACUACCUAUGGUUUACAAGGUGAAAGUUCAUCUUCAAGCUUUUCUCUUAUGUAUAAUCUGAUAGUCUAGUUUUCGAUGUAUCCUUUCCUAUAAGUUUUGGUGUUUUUUUAAGCCUUUUUUGCUAUGACUGGUAUUUAGCAUGUUCAAAUUAAGGCUUGUUUGUAGGCCAUGUCCACCAACUUGUUUGGUUAUGCUAUUUUCAUUAGUUUCUCAUGUUAGACAUCCUAAGUGUGGACUAUACUCUGUUGGCUUUCUGUCCAUAAUUUUAUUAGAAUCUCAUGUUUAAAAUCUUAUGACUAAGUUCUUUAUGCUAAUCCUGGACCAUGUUUUCUUUGAAACUUUACUUGAAGAAGUAUGCUAUCCCGUGUUGAUCAAUCAUGUCACCUUAGCUUUGUUCUCAAAGAAUGCAAGCAUGAACCUGCCUUAUGUUUGCCCUAUGAACUUGUCAAUAUGUUUUAGUGAAAACUGUUGUUAGAUACACCGAUGAGAAUUCAGUGUGUAGACUCUAAAAGGCUGUUUAAUUAAUCCCAUGUGUAGUUUGUUACUUGUAUGGUUAAGUUUGGCAUCCGGCUGGGUAAGUAAGUCAUCCAUUUGGGCUUGAUCCAUGUGUGUUGUUGGAGUUGUACCUUGUAACUGGCACACUCUGAUGCCUUGGGUGAGCCUGGGAUUUGAGUCUGCUAUUUGUGCAAAGAAUGGGGCUGUUGAAGACCCAAGAGUGUUAAUGGGUUAUUUUCUUUGGGCCUGCACCUACUUAUUGGGCAUGUAUUUGUUUCAGCUUGUAGUUUGGUCAUAUUUGAAGCAUGUAUUCUUCCACUUGGGCCUGCAAUAACUUGUAAUAAACAACAUCUGGGGAUUCGUAAAAGCUGGGUGUUGGGAUACUCUAUAUUCGCAUGAAUGGGUAGAAAGCAUGUCUAUAGGGCUCUACUUGUUUAUUUGCUUUCCAUGUCCCACCUUUGGGAAUUUUCUACACAAUGUGUCAAUUAACUUUUCUAUUCACUUAGAAAGCAUGACCUAGGGUUAAUAUAAUUCCUUAACUUGCAAUUGUUAGUAAGUAUGCCUAUAAGGUCUGAAAUUGGAUUUGUUGCGCUUAGAUAUCAUGCCUAUAGGAACUCAAUGCAAUGACUGGAAAUACAUGUUUUAACGUACUUCUUUCAAUCACUUGACUCAUCUAGAUACCAUAUCUAUAGGAUCUCGAAUUGAUUAAUUUAAAAUUGAUAUUGUUGAUGUUCUCUUCUUAUUACAUAGUUCAUCUAAAAAUCAUGCAUAUAGGGACCAAAAAGAGUAAUUUUGUGUUUUCAAUGGCCUCACUGCCCAGACGCAAACUGUGUAGAGAUCAUGUCUAUAGGGCGCUGUCACUCGCCUAGAAAUUAUGCCUAUAGGAUCUUUGAUAGAAUCAUAUGUUAAAAUCAACUGCUUUGUCAAGACGAUCUGCCUAUAGGACUUGUCAACUUUUGAAUCGUUCAAUCACAUAGAAAUCAUGCCUAUAGGUCUCUAAAAAUUUAAUAUAUCUUAACUCCAAGCCUGCCUAUAUACUGUUGCCUUUCUAAUAAUCUGAACGUCAUUAGCAUAAGUUCAUAACCGCCUGCGUGCAUAUAUGUCUAUAUGAGGAGGCAAACUUGAGCCCUUAUGUGUUGAUUAUGUGUAAUCCUAUAUGUUUUGAAUGUGCGCUAGUUUUAUCACUUUUGAGAAUCCUAAAUAGAGUCUAGAGCUACCUAAUAGUAGGUCCAAAGCUUCCUGGACCAUGGACAUGGGACAGGUAGUGCACGCAUAGGACACGCCUUAGAAUUGAAUUAAAGCGCCUUUAAUUAAACAACUUCAACAUUGUAAUCGGGUAGCAGGAGAUGAUUGUCUGUGCCCGCUGAAUAAUAUGAGCAACCCCUACCUUAAGGGAGUUGAGAAGUAUUAUUUAUGUUGCACGGGGUAAUCUUUUAGGCUAAAAAACUUAGGACCCCAUUUUAUACGUUUGCUGUUCACACUUAGUCAUCAAUAUAGAAUAGUUGUACCUUGUAACCUCUAAAGACUUGUAUUGAUUAUAGUCUAAUUAAUGCCCGAUUUUCUUUGCACGUAUUCAUAAUAGAACCUUCAAAUUACAUGUCUUCCUUCACUUAUAUUAUCACUUAGGACAAUUGUAAUCCGAUAAUUCGCAUAGUGUAAACUUCGACCGGGACCUACAGUUGUGGACUUCGAAGAGUGUCUAACACCUUCUCUUUGAGAUAACUCGAGCCCUUACCCGAUUUUUGGUGAUGUUGACUAGUUAAAAUAGAGUUAUUUGCAAAUAGGUGACCUAAUACACCUUAAAAAUCGUUAGGUGGCGAAUCUCCUCUUUUAAUACCUUUAAAAGAGUUGUCAGAUGUCGAAACCCGCUUUCGAGAAAAAAAGGGGCGCGACAACAUGGCGACUCUGCUCGGGAUUUACACUUAGGCUCUUACCAUAAAGAAGUUGACUUAUGUGGAUUAACGGAUAUAUUUGAUGACAUGUACAUCUCUUCCCUUAUCUUCCUCUAUUUUUUUUAAUUUGCUAUGACAUGUACAUCCCCUCAUUUAUUCCCCUUUAUUUGCUUAAAUUACUAUGACAUGUACGUUCUCUCCCCGUUUUUUUCAUCUUGUCUAAGACUGCUAUAUCAUGACUCUACUAUCCCUAUUUUCCUAUCUGCUUCAUUACGUUCUCGCACAUUUUCAUGAUUUAAACUGACUUCUCUCUUUUGUCUUUCUUUUCCUUCUCUUAUUCAUCUUUACCAUACUAUGCACUUUUAUCAUGAAAAUACUUGACAACAUUUAUCAUGCAAAUACUUGACAACAUGUUACUAUUUAUGCAUAAAUCAUGCUCUGCAUCAUACUCCACUCGUGCUUAUUAUCAACAUAUCGACGCUUGAUGAGUGUUCGCGCUUUCCUAAAAAAAUACCCUUUUAAACAGGAAAGGCUUAUUUGUGGUAGACUAGUCGAUCAACGGUGCAGUCAACGGUCCAAUACCUUUCCCUCUCAAGUUAUUCACUUAAGAGUACUAGUCUAGAAUGUUCUAGAAAACCACACUCUGAUUUGAACUGUACAUGCAUCAUGAUAAACCUAGUACAGAAUGAGACGUCAUUGACGUAACAACCCGCUUAGAUGAACCUUGUCCAAAGUCCAACGGUAUUUCCAUAAUCCCAAAGGACACUAUUAUACUAUGUGCAUUACUUGGAGAAACUGUGCCAACAUGUUGAUCAUUAUUGUGUAAAUAGCCUAAUUUAGAGGGGGAAAGGGCUAAUUUUUAUUUGUUUGCAGAAAAUAAAACACCAAAUCCCCAGGUUCGGUAUGGUCCAGAAUAUCCCACCUCUGCUAAUUGACUGGUGGAAUGACCUUGCACCCUGUGACAGAAAUCAUGUGAGGAGAGUAUUGGGUAACCUUCCAUCUUUGCUGAACAUUCAACCAAAUAGGGAACUGAUCGAGGCUGCUACCAUGUUUUGGGAUGAGAAGAAAGCUGUGUUCUGAUUUGGCAAUAUAGAAAUGACUCCUCUCUUGGAGGAAAUAGGGGGUUUCGCCAAGUUACCAUGGGAUAGUCCAUGACUAUUGGUACCAUAGAAUCGCACUCCACAUGGUUUUCUGAAGAUGUUGGGGUUUAAGAAGAAUGAUGAGUUGGUUUGUCUGAAGAAAUCAUACAUUCCCUUUGAAUUUCUAUAUGAGCAUUAUGGGCAUAGCAAAUCAUAUUGCCUUCAUCAUGAGGAGCUAGCCAUUACCUCUUUGGGAUGGGUGCAAUGCCGGGUUUAUGUUUUCGUAGUCUGUUUCUUGAGUCUGUUGAUCUUUCCAAUGCAAGGGGGAAAGAUUCAUACUCGCUUAGCCAUGGUCUCCAGGACCUUGAUGGAGGGUAUCGAGGGGCAAACGUACACUAUCAUCCCGAUGAUCUUAGCUAAGAUGUACCAUGCUCUGGAUCGGUGCAAGCAUGGAUCCGGACACUUUGAGGGUUGUAAUCUCUUAUUGCAAGUUUGGCUUAUGGAGCACUUUCAGAGGGGCGAUUAUAGCCGGGGACGUCAAACCGGGGGUCAAUAUGAAAUAUAGGAUCAUAGACGAGGUGUCUAAGGCACAUGUGAAGUAUAAGAGGCUAUGGAAAAUGGUGUUCGAAUCAGAAGCUAAACAUCUGGAACAACUUGAAGUGAACAUGGAGGCGAUAAGGGAAUGGAAGGAGAUUGCCACUAAGUCGAUAGAAAGGUUAGAAUAUCUAAAACAAGGAUUGAUGGAGCUAGAAGGGAAGAUGAGAAAGAGGCUUUGGGAUUGUCAAGGCAUGGGCGAUGAUGAAGGAGGGAAGCUGGCAAAGGUUUACUUGCUACUGGACAUGCGCGAUCUGGAAAACAUGAUUGAUGGGGUCAAAAGGGCCAAGCACGGAGAAGGUCCUUCAGGGACCAAGUAGAUUAAAAAAUAUUAUCCUUUAUUGCUUUCUAGCUUAGAUUAGAUUUUGAUGUAAUAAGGCUUAAUGCCAUUAGUGACUUUAUAAUUAUUGUCGAUUUAGUGAAAGAUUAAUUUGGUUUAUUUUUGCACUAAUGGAAUGAGGCAAACGUUGGCAUGAAUUUUAUCUAAGCCUAUGUGUCGCUUAGGCCUACCUCAUGCACAAUGAGGUCCCUCAAGUUAGGACGCGAAUUAUUGCAUGACCUUAUGUUAUACAUGUCUGAAUAUUGCAAAUACUCUUUUACUUCGUCUUACUGACUUGGUUAUAUUUUGCUUUUUCUUUCUUUUGAUUAUUCCCAUUCCCAAAGGUUGGUUCGUGCAUACUGGAAUCAUCAACAUACCACACUAGAUCCAGAGGUCCUCCACCUCCUCCUCCACCUAGCGAUCCGAAAAAUAAAGGCAAAGGCAAAGGGAAGAUGGAUGAUUUAAGUGGUAUUCGAAAAGACAAUGCUACCGUGGCAGAGAAUGUUGAAACCUCAUAUGGGAGAAGUACGCCAGGACAUAAUGAGUUAGUCUUAUGCUUGGAGUAGAAAAUUCUGGAGCUGCAGGGUGAGCUUGAGCAAGUCCGAAAUAUGGCAAACCUUUCCUUUACUCUAAAUGUCGCCGACAUCAACCAGCAAAACACAACCACUCAGAACCAAACACCACCACAAAACACACAAAACCAGAAUCCACCACCCAUAGCUCUGAAUCCUCCCACACCGCACACAAUCCCACACCUCCCCAAAACCUUAACCCACCACCAGUGCAAACCCCUCAACAACACCACCAUCACCUAUCUCAAUAUCGGCAAACCACCACUUAUCACACUCCUUAAAAUGCACCACAACCAACCCCUGAUCCCCCUCAAAUCUCAAUCAAUGUUCACCCAUAUACCCAAGUUCCAUGAACUAAUCAAGGCAAACCUGAUAUACUUGGAAACCUUACCCCAUACCCCAAAACAAACCCUAUAAAUACCUGAGCUGAUCAAGAAGGACCUGCUCAUUUAGAACAUGGCAGAAGAACUCAAGAAAAUGACAUGGAGAGUCCAGAGUGUUGAAGGUGGGAAUGGUGAUGAAGGUUUAAACUACGAAGAUUUGUGUAUCCAGCCAGAUGUAGAACUGUCAGAGGGUUACAAACCUCCCAAGUUUGAGAUGUCUGAUGGCACUGGUGAUCCAAAGGUACAUUUGAGAACCUACUGUGACAAGCUUGUAGGAGUAGGUAAGAAUGAAAAAAUCCAUAUAAAACUGUUCAUACAAAGUCUUACAGGAGACGCAUUAUCUUGGUAUAUAAGUUAGAAUCCGAAGAAGUGGGAAAAUUGGGUGAGCAUGGCAUCAUAUUUUAUGGACAGAUUCAGGUUCAAUAAAGAAAACACGCCAGAACCUCAAGAAAAAGCCGACAGAAAACGUUUGCGAGUAUGCUACUCAUUGGAGAUCAGAGGCCGCAAAUGUGAGGCCGCCACUUGAAGAGGAACAAAUGAAUAAGUUCUUUGUUAGAGCUCAAGAUCCACAGUAUUAUGAAAGGUUGAUGGUUAUCGAGAAUCAUAAGUUCUCAGACAUCAUCAAUUUAGAAGAAAUGAUAGAAGAAGGAAUCAAGAGUGGGAUGGUGACCAAUUUUGAGGAACUGCAAGCAACAAACAAAACCUUGCAAUCAGGAGGUAUCUUUAAGAAGAAAGAAGUGGGUGCCAUAAUGGUAGCCCAGGGCCAUAAGUCUCCUCUUACAUACCAAACACCUCCACCCACAUAUCAACCCUCACCUCCAAAUACCAAUACCCUGCCACCACCUACCACGCCUAUAAUACUCAACCUGCAUAUUACCAUUCACCUCCACCCACUCACCAAAACUACCCAAAGCCACGCCCAAACAUUGACCGCAGACAAUACACCCCAAUCGUUGAGCCUAUAGCCUAAUUGUAUGAGAGACUGAAGGCUACUGGUUACGUCACCCCUAUUCCUUCUAUUGUUGUUGAGAACCCUUCCCAGUGGAUUAACCCCAACAAAACUUGUGCCUAUCACUCUGGCAUGAACGAUCAUACCAUUGAGGAGUUCCGCAUGUUAAAGGACAAGAUUCAAACACUGAUCGACACCAAGGUUAUAUAGGCAAAGGAAGCCGCACCAAAUUUUUGUAUCAACCCUCUCCUGGACCAUAGGGGUGAGGGAGUGAAUGCGAUAGAAACUGAUGAGGAAUGGGAUAAGGAGGGAUCCAUUUGACUUAUUCGAGAGGGAGAUAUUCCAAAAAUAUCUCCGGUCACCCUCUCGCCGAUUGUGGUGCAAACUCAAGCACCUUUUGAGGUCGAGGCAGCUACACCUUUCACUGUGAUGGUAGAUCCCACACCAUCUUAUAAGUCUGAUUCCGUCCCAUGGGAGUAUGUUGUGGAGGCAAGAUGAAAGGGAAAAUCCAAGAUAGAAGAGACAGGUGUUGCGCAAGGUAUGACUAGAACUUGUAGAGUUUACACACUUGAGAAUCUUGGAGGAACAAGAAAAGAAGUUGAAUCUAAGCCACAUGUCAUUGAGACAAACACUGAUGAUCUUUGGCGAAAGGUACAGGCGAGGGAAUACUCUGUUAUUGAUCACCUGAACAAGACCCCCGCCCAGAUAUCCAUUUUGUCAUUGUUGCAAAAUUCAGACACGCACAAGAAUGCCUUGAUGAAGGUAUUAAGAGAAGCUUAUGUGCCCACCGGUAUCAUUAGCGGGGAGAUGGAUAACAUGGCCGUACAAGUACCGGAGAGUCAUAAAAUUACUUUCCAUGAAGAUGAGUUACCACCAGAGGGAUUGAUCCAUAACAAGGCAUUGCACAUCACUGUGUAAUUGAAGACAAGUUCAUUGCCAGGGUCUUGAUAGAUGGAUGUUCGAGCCUGAACAUAUGCCCGCUAAUCACUCUGAAAAGAUUAGGUAAAGGCCUGCAUGAGAUACAUAUAUAUGAAAGUAUUCGAUGGAUCUCAGAGAGCCAUUAUCAGAGAAAUCAACCUUGAUCUACAGAUGGGCUCCUCCUGGUUUGAAGUCGAAUUCCAAUUGCUAGAUAUAUCUGCCACUUACAACCUGUUGUUGGGAUGACCAUGGAUACAUGCAGCUGGGGCAGUGGCUUCUAUUCUGCACCAGGUUGUGAAGUUCGAGUGGAAUCAUCAGGAGGUGAUCAUUCACGGAGAGAGAAGAAACCCUAUCUACACCAACCAGACCAUUCCAGUCAUAAAUAAUAGGAGGAAAUUGGGAGGAGAAACAUACCACCGCAUUGAGAUGGUAAACAUAAUUGAGAAGGAUCGAUGGUGAAGCAAUAAGAUAGAAAGCAUAUUAUUGUAGAUGGGAUAUGAACCGGGCAAGGGUCUUGGGCGAAAGCUUCAGGGGAUCACAUAACAUAUACUACCGCAGUAUCAUGGCACGACCUUUGGCCUCGGGUAUGAAUAUAUCGUGCAAGAAUAUUAGGAUUGGACACCUCCGUGGCACGCCGAUUACUAUUAGCUGGAACAACCCAUACCGCCGUUGCACCAGACAUUCCGCCAGACUGACAUGAUGUGGGGAUCCGAGGAAGAUGAGAUUUUGGCCGGUAUGAGGAAGCUGUUUCUGGACGAGGAAAAUAUGGACUGCAGUGCAAUUUUAGAGGAGGAGGAGGAAAAAGAUCUUACUAUUCAGACAGUGAAAGAAGGAGCUGUUCUCAAGAACUGGACCGCUGCACCAUCCCGGGCUUGCCGAUUACCUGAGUAGCCUGGCAGAAUUAGCAUGACUUGUUUUUAAAUUGUUUUUGAGCAUUUAAGACAUUUUCAGUAUUUUGUUUUGAAAUAAUUACUCGAGCCAUCGAGUCAUACUUGUUGACAGUUUUAAGCAUUAUUAAUGAAUUAUUGCUUUUCGUAUAUAUUAUUAUCUUGCUACAUUCAUUUCAGCGUAAUUAUUACAUAUCCCGAUGAACCUACGACUGUGACAUGUAAUGAGACAAUACAACAUAAGGAAAUUGAUUCGGAAGAUUUGAAGAUGAUAUAAUACCUAAGGAAAUUAUCAAAGAAUUAGAGAAUUUUGAGAACAAACCAAAGUCCAACUUAGAGUAAACUAAGGCAGUUAACUUAGGGGAUUCUGAAACAGUCAAAGAAAAUCGCAUAAGCAUUCAUCUAUCAUGGUCAGAGAAGGAAGAAUAUAUUAGGUUUCUAAAGGAAUAUGAGGAUAUUUUUGCAUGGUCCUACGACGACAUGAUGGGGUUAAGCACACCCAUAGUAGUUCACAAGCUACCUACCAACCCCAUGUGUCUGCCGGUAAAGCAGAAGCUCAGAAAAUUCAAGCCAUAUAUGAGUAUGAAGAUAAAGGAGGAGGUUACCAAGCAAAUCAAAGCCAAGGUUCUUCGAGUGGUCGAAUACCCGACCUGGUUAGCCAACAUUGUGCCGGUUCCAAAUAAAGAUGGGAAAGUCAGAGUGUGUGUUGACUAUAGAGACCUAAAUAGAGCAAGUCCUAAGGAUGAUUUCCCGUUGCCCAACAUACACAUACUGAUCGAUAACUGCGCUAAGAAUGAACUCUAAUCCUUUGUGGAUUUCCUUGCAGGAUAUCACCAGAUUUGGAUGGAUGAGGAGGACUCCAAAAAGACAACCUUUAUCACACUAUAGGGGAUAUACUGUUAUAAAAUGAUGCCAUUUGGUUUGAAUAAUGCUGGGGCCACCUACAUGAGGGCCAUGACGACCCUCUUCCACGACAUGACACACAAGGAAAUAGAGGUGUACGUAGAUGAUGUUAUCAUCAAAUCUAAAAGGAGUUCAAAUCACAUAGCAGACAUGAAGAAGUUUUUUGACCGACUUAGAAAAUACAAUUUGAAGUUGAACCCUGCAAAAUGUGCCUUCGGAGUCCAUGCUGGGAAGUUGCUGGGUUUCAUCAUCAGCUGCCGUGGUAUUGAGCUAGACCCAUCAAAAAUUAAAGCUAUUUAAGACUUUACACCGCCAAAGAACAAGAAAGAUGUGAUAAGUUUCCUGGGAUGCCUCAAUUAUAUCGGCUGUUUUAUAGCUCAAUCAACGGUGAUAUGUGAGCCGAUCUUCAAAAUGCUGAGGAAAGAUGCUGCGAAAAAUUGGACUGAAGAAUGCAGAAAGCCUUCGACAAAAUCAAGGAGUAUUUAUCUAAACUGCCCAUGUUGGUCCUGCCAGAACCAGGAAGACCUUUGCUGCUAUAUCUGUCCAUGUUAAUUGGAGCCUUUGGCUGCGUUCUGAGGCAACAUGAUGAAACCGUGAGGAAAGUGCAGGCAAAAUUCUAUCUGAGUAAGAAGUUCACACCUUACGAGGCCAGGUAUUCUUUACUGGAGCGCACCUGCUGUGCUUUGACAUGGAUAGCCCAGAAGUUGAGACAUUAUUUCUGUGCAUACACUACCUACCACAUAUCAAGGAUGGACCCGCUGAGGUACAUCUUUCAGAAACCACCCAUGCCUACAGGCAAGUUAGAAAAGUGGCAGAUAUUGCUAAGUGAGUUCGACAUCAUUUAUGUGACUCAAAAGGCAAUCAAGGGGCAAGAAUUGGACGAUCACUUGGCAGAGAACCCCGUAGAUGGAGAAUACAAACCAUUGAAUAUGUAUUUUCCCGACGACGAAGUGUCAUUUGUAGGAGAAGAUAUAGCUGAAACAUAUGAAUAUUGGAGAAUAUUUUUCGAUGGAGCAGCAAACUUCGAGGGAGUGGGCAUCAGAGCUGUUUUAGUAUCAGAAACCAGUCAACAUUAUCCGGUAUCCACAAAACUCAGGUUCCCGUGCACCAACAAUAUAGCGGAAUAUGAGGCCUACAUCUUGGGACUCAGGUUGGCCAUCGACAUGAACGUUCAGAAAUUGCUGGUAAUCGGAGAUUCUGAUCUAUUGGUACACCAGAUACUAGGUGAAUGGGCUACCAAGAACACUAAAAUAUUACCAUACUUACAUUGUGUACAAGAGUUGAUCAAGAGGUUCACAAAUAUAGAAUUCAAACAUGUUCCAAGGAUUCAAAAUGAGUUCGCAGAUGCAUUAGCCACCUUGUCUUCCAUGAUACAACAUCCAAACAAAAAUUUCAUCGAUCCUAUCCCAAUAGAAAUUCGUAAGUAGCCAUCUUAUUGUGCUCAUGAUGAAUAAGAGUUUGACGGAAAUGUAUGGUUUCAUGAUAUCAAGGAAUACUUGGAGAAAGGAGAAUACCCAGAGAAUGCUACACAUACUCAGAAGCGUAUGCUUUGAAGAUUGGCCAUCCAUUUCUUUCAGAGUGGAGGAAUUCUGUAUAGAAGGACCCCUUAUUUGGUAUUGUUGUGACAUGUCAAUGCCAAUGAGGCAUCUAGAUUGCUUGAAGAAAUACAUGCCAGAACUUGCGAGCCUCACAUGAACGGGUUCAUUCUGGUCAAGAAAAUAUUGAGAGCAGGGUAUUUCUGGAUGACUAUGGAGACAUACUGCAUCAAAUAUGUUCAAAAGUGUCACCCAUGCCAGAUACAUACUAAUAUAAUACGAGUAUCACCCAACGAACUUAAUGCAACGAGUUCACCCUGGCCUUUCUUUGCUUGGGGCAUGGAUGUCAUCGGACCAAUUGAACCCGCAGCUUCAAACAGACAUAGGUUCAUUUUGGUGGCUAUAGAUUACUUCACAAAAUGGGUCGAAGCCGCUUCCUAUAAGGCUGUGACUAAGAAGGUCGUAGAAGAUUUUGUCCGGGAUCGUAUUUUUUAUCGAUUUAGAGUACCUGAGUCAAUCAUUACUGAUAUUGCCGCCAAUCUCAACAGUAAUUUGAUGAAAGCUAUUGUGAAACAUUCAAGAUCAAGCAUCAAAAUUCUACAGUAUACAUGCCGCAGAUGAAUAGGGCCGUAGAAGCCUCCAACAAGAACAUCACAAAGAUAUUGAGGAAAAUGGCAGACAACUACAAGCAAUGGAAUGGGAGGCUACCAUUUGCUUUGCUCGGGUAUCGCACCCCAGUUCGUACGUCAACUGGGGAAACCCCCUAUCUACUGGUCUAUGGUACCGAAGCCGUUAUCCCUGCCGAAGUGGAGAUUCCUUCCUUAAGGAUCAUACAAGAGGCCGAGCUCAGCGACGCGGAAUGGAUACGAAACCUAUAUGAACAGUUGGCUCUCACUGAUGGUAAGAGGAUGAACGCAUUGUGUCAUGGUCAACUUUACCAGAAUAGAAUGGAAAGGGCUUUCAACAAAAAUGUUAGAUCGAGGCAAUUCACACCUGGACAAUUGGUGCUGAAACGGAUCUUCCAGCAUCAGGAUGAAGCAAAGGGGAAAUUCCCACCCAACUGGCAAGGCCCUUAAAUGGUUCACCGAGUACUGACAAGAGGAGCACUUAUACUUGUGGAGAUAGACGGAGAGAUAUGGCCAAAACCUAUCAACUCAGACGUAGUCAAGAGAUAUUAUGUUUAAGAUUAUAUUUGCACUUUCUAUUUGAUGUAACCUGAACUAUGCUUGACCCGAUUCAUAUUUAAUAGGGGAUAUGUAGGCAACCCUGUGGGUUCGGUUACAUCAUAAUAAAAUCUUCUUUUCCCUAUAUGGUCAGAAACUUGGGCAAGAUUUCGAGUUCGUCAAUCUCAUUAUGUCAAGGAUCACCAAAAAUGCAUUGCCAGAAGUAGGCAUAUAAACUGGGGGAGAAUUUUGAGGAGGGUCCUUAAAAUUCCGAGUUGAGGAGGUUGCAAUGUCUCAAAGCGCGUCACAGUCUCCUAUUCAAAAUUUAUUUGUUUUAUGCAUUAUCACAUAUUUUGAACAACUGCAUUUUUAAAUAAAUGAUCUGUCACAAAUGCAUAUUUUUUGAAAAUUUCAUUUUCUGUAGUAGCCAGACGUUACCCAGGGUGACUUAAACAAGACCUCAAGACAAGGAGCAAAGACAAAACGAAGAAUCGAAGGCACGGACCAACCUUUCCCCCCAAACUCACGAUUUUUCUUUGGAUGCAGGCACAAUGGACAUAACAAGCACGUCCGCAAAUAUAUGCAUACAAUAAGAUCACGAUCUUCACACUGACAUAAGUCACCAAGAACUAACGUGCCAAGCUAAGAAUCAUUUUCCCCUCUCAUAUUUAACCGUUGCUCUUCCUGCAUAGGGCUAAACACUGCCCUCAUCAUUGCAUAAGGCUAAGCACUGCCUUUCCUUGCAUGAGGCUAAGCAUUGCCUCCAUUAUUGCAUAAGGCUAAGCACUGCCUUCCCUUGCAUGAGACUAAUCCUUGUCUCCAUUCUUUACAUAAGGCUAAGCACUACCUUCCCUUGCAUGAGACUAAGCAUUGUCUCCACUACAUUGCAUGAGACUAAGCACUGUCUCCAUUCUUUACAUAAGGCUAAGCACUUCAUUCCCUUGUAUGAGACUAAGCAGUCUCCACUACAUUACAUGAGGCUAAGCAUUUCCUCCAUCAUUGCAUAAGAUUAAGCAUCACCUUUCCUUGCAUGAGGCUAAGCAUUGACGCCAUUAUUGCAUAAGGCUAAGCACUGACUUCCCUUGCAUAAGACUAAGCACUGUCUCCAUUCUUUGCACGAGGCUAAGCUCUGCCUCCAUUAUCACAUAAGGCUAAACUCUGCCUUCCUCUGCAUAGGGAUAAACACUUCCCUCAUUACACACAAGGCUAAGCGCUGUCUUUCCGCGUUCUCGCAUACAACUAAGCAUCAGCUGUUCCCUCUAUCAAACGAUCAAUAUCUAUGCAUCUUUGCAUUUCAUGGGCUGAAACAUCGCCACAUUGUCCGAAGGCGUCAUAGUUUGAGGGCAUCAUCCUCAUAGCCCAAAGACAUCAUGCCAUGGCCCGAGGAUCUCUCGAAAUUUCAUAUCAUUAUUCAAAGGUGUCAUAGUCCAGAGCAACCAUCCUCAUGGCCCAGGACACCAUUUCAUGGCCUGUGAAUUCCUUAUCAUACGCUUCAUGGCCCGGGACGUCAUGGUAUAAGGAUAUCAUUCCCAUCGUCAAAAGACAACUCUCAUGGUCCGAAGGGAAUUUGCAUCAUGUUUAGAGUUUUUCAAUAACCCAUAUAUAUUCGCGCGCAUCGUGUUUUAAGUUUUACAGGUAACUCGGGAGGUAAUCAUUCUACAAACAGGAGCAAUUAUCGCUCUGAUUUCUGUUCACAAUGUUCUCAUCCUUCAAUCAUCCCAAAUGUAACCGAUAAUCUGCAAUUGAUUACCCUUUGUCCCGUAACCGCUCAAAUACUUCCCUUAUACAUCCGUAAUGUUCAAAUUCGCAUUCAUAGCACCACCUAAAAUUAUCCGUUACUCACAACACUAUCAUAUCCAAAAAUCCUUUUCGAAACACACGAACACUCUUAUAACAACUCCAUCGGUCUUUGACGAGCACAAAAUACACACUUAAAUUCUGCUCGCUAGUCAAAUAUAGUAUAGUGUAAUAUAGUAUCCACAUGGAUUGGAUUUAAACAGUAUUCUCGUAGUUUUUAGCUUGAUUGCUAUCCAAGAUGAUCAACAAUUAAGAAGUAUAUGAUUUCUAAAUAAAUUAACUAAGAGUCUAAAUCUAUUGACUAAUGACAAUUAAAACAAAGAUAAGCAAUGAAGUUAUCAGUGGGAGGAAAUAGGGGUUGAUAGGAUAGGUGUAAGAUAAUUGUUUGGGAUCUAACUAAAGAUAAUUCACUUCUAAUGUUCAAGUGAAUCUCUCUAAUUCACUCAAUUAUUAGUUCAAACGUUCAGUAAAAACUCCUCUCUUGAUUAUGUCUUAACCUUACGGGAUGAACCAAUUUAAGCACGUGAAGAUAUGCAAGAAUGCGUAGUGCAUUGGUCUUUAGGAAAACCUCUUUCUAUUAUUCUCCUAUCUAGGUUUAAUCAAUGAUUCGAAUUGCCUCUUUCGAUUACUAAGAAGAAUUAAUGAACUCGACCAACAAUAUAAUGCAAAGAUAUCACAAGUUAUGCCUCUCUCGAUUACUUGAACNNNNNNNNNNNNNNNNNNNNNNNNNAUAAAAUUAAAGUAUAGAAAAACAACAAUUUAAUCCACACUCGGGUCUUGAGUGAGGAAGGAAUGAUGAAAUCCUUGUGCUCAUGUCCUUCCAACUCCUCCUUAGCUUCCUUAGAACGAAUAUGUGUCAAAAGUCCAGAAAAUAAUAUUUUUCUAUGUAUUUAUACCAAGUAGGGUCGGGCCCAAACGAAAUCACCUUUUCCUAGCCGAAAUAGGACAUUUACUAUGUAAAUAUUACACAAGCGCGCCGCAUGGGGCAAAGCGCCAUGUGGGGCAUUAGUGGGGAAAUCCAGAUAGCUAAUUUUUGACAGGCAAUAAAGGAUUGCCCAAGCGCGCUGCCCCAUGCACCGCGACAGUGGGGAAUUCUCAGAGUACGAACCAAACUUCGAUUUUUGACGUCCAGACCUGGUCCUCGACCCCCGAACACGAUCCUGGCUUGAUCCUUUUGGCUUUUACUCAGACUUCAAAGCUUCAAAUCACUCUAAUUCAUUCCACAAUAUCUACAUAGCUUGAAAUCACUCCUACAAGGCAUAAAAUACACAAUAAGUGCAAAACACUACCAAUUAAAGCUCAAACAUGAAUAAAGUGCAGUGAAUUAGAGUGCAAUAAGCGACUAACAUACUUAAUUAUAUCCAACCAUCAACACCCCACACUUAAACCUUUUCUCGUCCUCGAGCAAUCAAAUUACACUUCAUAUAGACACGACCUUUUUAAACAACUCUCAUAACUCAUCACACGAAGAAUAUUUAAAACAGAUUAAGCACAAUAUCGUAAUAUCCUAGCCUCAAGAUUUGACUCAAAAGCACCAUGCAUUAUUUAUAACCCGCUCAUUUACUCUAACACAUAGGUCAACGACAUUAUCUUUCCUUCAUGAAUUAAAUGCCCUCACACAACAAUAGAGAGUAAUUCACUGCUAAAAAAAUCUAGUUUUAGCGACGGAUAAAUUCUAUAGCUAAAUAGAAAAAUCCGUCGCUAAUCUCAUUUAGCGAUGGAUUAGCGACAGAUAAUAAAGAAAUUUUGCUAGUUACGGGCGAUUUAGCGACAGAUUAGCGACGACAUUCGUAGCUAAUUCUAGUUUUUUUGGUAGUGAUUCCACACACAAUAAAAUUUAAGAACAAUUAAGAACUCAAGAUAGAAAGAAUUCACUCACUCUCAGAAACAACAUUCAUAUGCCACAAAAGAUGUACCAUAGGCUUGCCCGUAGUGUACUACUCUACUAAUUGAUCUCAUUCAGUCAAGGAUCAAGUAGGACUUCAUUUGGUUGUAAUGUAGGCUGCGGGAUGGGUAGGAUAUAAUUAGAUAUAAGAGUGACUACACCCCCCUAAGUACUUUAAUACAUACAAUUGACCAUUUAAAACCCCACACUUAUGUCAAGCCAUAACUCCACCUUCACGAUUAAUAUACAUUAACUCCCUACUUCUUUAAGCACAAUUACAUCAAGAGUUACCACUAUCAAAGAAUAUUUUGCACAAUAAUACAAUAUUUUUUUCUUUUCUCUUUCAAUUCAAGUGGCUCUUACUUUUUCAAUACAAUGCACCUUUCUCCUUAUUUCAAUAGUUUCACUCAAAAGCCAAACCAACCACCCCACACUUUACCUUUUACAAAGUUCAUAACAAAUUUAAGUGCUCACGAGAGGUAAAAGUUCAAAUAGAUGGUCAAUUCAAACAAAUGGGUAAGGCUUAUACUGUAGUUGCCAAAGAAAUAGGAUUACAAGCUCAAAAGGGUUAACUACGAUACAUAACAAUUAGGUGCAUAAAAGCUUAUAACUGGCUCAACAAAGAAAUGCCUAAAUCACUUCCAAGACUGAAUACAACUACUAUUUUGCUUUGCAAAUACACGGGGCAAGUUCUAGACAUAAAAUGCAAUGCACAAAAUACACAAAACCUCACAGACACAUGGCACAUAACUCACUCAAUAUUGGACUAUCGAGACACUCUAGUCAAAGUAGUUAAGCAAAGUUAAGAUCAUACAGUUAAGGUAUUUAUACAAGAGUAAAAAACUGAGCUUAAGAGUCACAACUAAAGCACUUACUGUAUUCUCAAGGUAUAAUAGAGUCAAGAGAUAUUUCCUUUCAAACAAAACCCUUGAAAAAGAACCACGGCACAAAGAAAAACCAAGGGAGACUUGUUACACUACCUACAAAAGAAAAUCUUUUUGUCUUUUUCUUUCGACCUUAAUCCCUCAAGAAACCUGUCGAUGAUAUCCAUCGUCGAAAAAAAUCAAAAAUUUUAAAUUUUUAUGGUUUUUUUUCAAAAAUAUUUUCUAUCUCCAACUACUACAACUAACAAAAAGAAAACUAAAACUAAUAUACAUACAUACAAAUAUCCCCCACCCCACACUUUAAGUUGUGGCAUGUCCCCAUGAUACACAAUUAAAAAGCAUAAGGUAGAGAGACUUCCCUGAACAUCUAGUCGGGGUCUGAGUCGAAGUCGGGCCCCAUUCCUCGCCUUCAAACUAAUGCGCACAUCCAUGCAGACAACUUCUUCUCGGCCUUCUUGGGGUACACCCCACACUUAUCUUUCUCACUCACCGCAACUUUCUCUUUUGAGCCCUUCACUUUCCAUUCAACACUUGCAGCUGGUUUUCCUUUUUGCACCCUAUUUCUACAUCCAUCUUGAACAUCACAGUUUCCUCACCCACUCUAAGCACGAGUUUUCUCUCGUGUAUAUCCAAUGUAGCUCUACCCGUAGCUAAAAAUGGUAUUCCUAGGAUGAGGGGGACCUCCUUGUUUUCCUCCAUAUUCACCACUAUAAAGUCUACAGGAAAUACAAACUUAUCCACUCAAAUUAACACAUCUUCCACUAUCCCCUCGAGUGUUAUAGUCAUUUGGUCUGUUAGCUGCAAAGAUAUUGGCACCGACCGUAUCUCUCCAAUCUCCUUCUCCAGUUUCCUGUAAAUAGAUAGAGGCAUUAUGUUAAUUGAGGCACCAGAAUCACAUAAAGACUUGCCAAAAUUUAUAGUUCUUAAUGAGCAAGGUAUAGUAAAACUCCCUGGGAUCUCCAAACUUUUAUGGGGAGUUUAUUUUGCAAUAUUGCGUUGCAAUGCUCUGUGAGCUUGACCACUGAGGUUUCCUCGAUUUUCCUUUUCUUCGUCAGGAUCUCCUUCAAGAAUCUAGCAUAAGACGACAUUUGUCAGAGUAAUUAUGUGAAUGGUAAGCUUACAAGAACAUGUUUUAGCAUAUCCAAAAAUUUCUCAAAUUUCUUGUCCAACUUUUCUCUAUAUAGCUUUUGAGGGAAAGGUAAAGCAGGCAUCUGCUUGCUCUCUUCAGGUUCCUCCCUUCUUAAUGUUUCUUCAUUCUUCUUUUUCUCCGCUUUCAUCUGGACCUUCUUCUUUUUUAUCAUCAUCACUUUUCAGCUGCUCCCCACUUCAUUUUUCAAGUUUCACUUCUUUUUGGAUCGGGGUGGGGUCUUUCAACACUUGCCCACUUCGAAUCUUUCAUCAGUUUUCACAAUUAAGGCCUUCAUGAGAUCUUCUAGACUAGGCUGAUUGGGCUGUUGAGGCUAAAACUACUGCCUUGGCUAAUUCAUAAAACCAGGAGCUCAUUGUCCCUGAAAUCUGGAGUUGUUUUGUUGCCAUGCAUUAGCGGUACCCCCAGGUGAACUCCAUGAAAAACCGGGGUGCUUCUGACCCAUUGCAUUGAAGUUGUAAUUUCCCACAGGAUUCACUUCCUCAGUUGAGGCUUGACACUCAUGAGUAGGGUGUCCUCUUUUGCAUAUAUCACAUGCUACAUGUGGCUCACUUUGUAUUGUAGCCAAGGUUAGCUUCCUUAUUUCUUUAGCCAUAGAAUCGAGUUGUACCUGCACAGAUGUGUUAGCAUCAACUUGGCGAACACCAGUUGCUUUUCUUCUUACGGCACUCUCAGAGGGCCACUAAUUUGCAUUUUCAGAUAACUCAUCAAGAAUUGUAACUAUCUCCUCUGGAGUCUUCUUCAUCAAGGGGCCUCCAGCUGCAUUGCUCAAUGUUUUACGUGAGGCUGGUGUCAAUCCAUCCCAAAAGUCCUGGAGUUGCAUCCAGAGUUCCAUUCCACUAUGUUGACACUUUCGAACAAUCUCCUUAAACCUCUCCCACGCUUCAAAAAACAGUUUCAGUCUCUUUCUGGUAGAAGUUAUGGAUUUCUCUUCUAAACUUACCCGUUUUAGCUGAUGAGAAAUAUUUAUCAAGGAAUUUUCUGGUCAUCUCCUCUCAAGUUCUAAUUGAUCCCGUGGGAAAGCUUCGAAGCCACUAUUUUGCAUCAUCUUAAAGAGAAAAGGGGAAUUCCCUUAAAUACACCGCAUAUUGUGACACACCAUUAUAUUAAAAGGUGUUCAUAAGCUUCUCGAAGUCCAUUAGAUGUGUGUUUGGAUAUUCGUUUAGCUUCCCUCUAAAGACACAACAAUUUUGAAGAGUUUGAAGCAACCCUUGCUUCAAUUCGAAAGUGUUAGCUGCAAUUGGAAGUGGUCUCACGUUUGAUAAUCCUUGGUUGUAGACCGGUCUAGCAUAAUCGCCCAAGGAUCUCCCAGACAUGGGAGCUAUAUUUCCGAACUGGUCUGCAGUUAAGGGUUGAUUUUGAGCAAUUCUCCGGGCCCUCUCUUCUUCAUAGAUAAUAUGUGCAUCUCUCAUAGCUGGUUCAUCAGCAUCCCUAGCAGCCUUUUCUCAUUGUUGGGCUGCCUCUCUUGCAGCCAAAUCCACAUUAUCAUCACCAUUUCUAGCCAUAUUUUCUUUGGUUGAGGAUUGCCCAACCUUUUCUAAUGUCUCGAUGAGAUUUCUUUCCUUCCUCAGCUGUCGCAGUUGUUUUUCUACCUUUGGCUCGUAUGGUAGCACUUCUUUCGUAGAAGCUCGAGUCAUGCAUCAACCUCAACCUGUAACCUGCGCACAGUCAAAGAACACCAAACGUAAAAAGGAAAAAUAAAUAUAAAAAGAAAAAUUCCUGAAUUAGCACUAAAAACUAUUUCAAACACUAUUGAUUGCCAAUCCCCGGCAACGACGCCAAAAUUUGACAAGCGCAAAACACACACUUAAAUUCUGCUCGCUAGUCAAAUAUAGUAUAGUAUAAUAUCGUAUCCACAUGGAUUGGAUUUAAAUAGUAUUCUAGUAGUUUUUAGCUUGAUUGCUAUCCAAGAUGAUCAACAAUUGAGAAGCAAAUAAUUUCUAACUAAAAUCAACCAAGAGUCUAAAGCUAUUGACUAAUGACAAUCGAAACAAAGAUAAGUAAGGAAGUUAUCCGUGGGAGGAAAUAGGGGUUGAUAGGAUAGGUGCAAGAUAAUUGUUUGAGAUCUAACUAUAGAUAAUUCACUUCUAAUGUUCAAGUGAGUCUCUCGAAUUCACUCAAUUAUUAGUUCAAACGUUCAGUAAAAAUUCCUCUCUCGAUUAAGUCUUAACCUUAAAAGAUGAACCAAUUUAAGCACAUGAAGAUAUGCAAGAAUGCGUAGUGGAUUGGUCUUUAAGAAAACCUCUUUCGAUUAUUCUCCUAACUAGGUUUAAUCAAUGANNNNNNNNNNNNNNNNNNNNNNNNNCCAUCAAACCCUAAAGAGAACUACUCCAUAGAUAUAAAGCAAUUCAUCAAAAAAAAUAAAUUAAAGUAUAGGAAAACAUAAAUUCAAUCCAAACUCGGGUCUUGAGUGAGAAAGGAAUGAUGAAAUCCUUGUGCUCAUGUUCUUCCAACUCCUCCUUAGGUUGAAUAUGUGUCAAAAGUCCAGAAAAUAACAUUUUUUCAUGUAUUUAUACCAAGUAGGGUCGGACCCAAAUGAAAUCACCUUUUCCUAGCCAAAAUAGGACAUUUACUCUGUAAGAAUUGCACAGGUGCGCCGCAUAGGGCGACGCGCCAUGCAGGGCAUUAGUGGGGGAAAUCCAGAGAGCUAAUUUCUGACAGGUAGUAGAGGAUUUCACAAGCGCGCCACCCCACGCACCGGCCCACGUGCCGUGACAGUGGGGAAUUCUCAGAGUACGAACCAAACUUCGAUUUUUGACGUCCAGACUUGGUCCUCGACCCCCGAACACAAUCCUGGCUUGAUCCUUUGGGCUUUUACUCAGACUUCAAAGCUCCAAAUCAGUCGAAUUCGUUCCACAACAUCUACAUAGCUCGGAAUCACUCCUACAAGGCAUAAAACAUACAAUAAGUGCAAACCACUACCAAUUAAAGCUCAAACACGAAUAAAGUACAGUGAAUUAGAGUGCAAUAAGAGACUAAAUACUUAAUUAUAGCCUACCAUCAGUCUCGUUCGCCGUUGGAUCUAAAACUACACACGACCUGAUUCCCGUAACACAAGGGAUAUGUAGGCAACUCAAGAACCAGGGUUCGACUCAAUUUUUCAAAAAAAUGCCUCAUCCUCACUCAUUUCGGACAAAAUUGGUCAUCACUUUCUUUACCCAACAACUCUUUUAUCAUUCCCGGGUAAAGAGGGGAAACUAUUGAUACCCAUUUUGCCCUCAUAUUUUUAUAAAUAUCUUAUUUACUUUCAAAAUAUCAUUCCUGCAUCAUCACCAAUUUACAAGAGUCAUAUAAGUACCUUCUGUAAUGUUUCAUAAUUUUUAAAGCUUUAAAAUUGAUUUUCUUGAAUUUAAAUUAUUCAAAUAUUUAUUAAUUACUCCUUCAAAUUAUUUUGUGAUGACUUAAUCAUCUAAAUUUAUUAUUUACACCCACAUGUAUAUUUUAUAAUAUUUUACUUUAUUUUCUAUAAUUAUAUUUGCAUUUUUAUACGAAUUACACAUUUUUGUAGUGAUAGCCUACACUUUGCAAUUAAUUGUAUUUAUUAUUUUAUUUAUAGCUAAAAUAAUAUUUUACAUGUUUACAACCUUUAACUAUUAUUUUAAAGUAUUUAUUUGCUUAAAUCAUAUUUUUAAUACUUAUUUAACUAUUUUAUUAAAUUAAUUUUCCUUAAUUUCUUAUAUUUAAAAUCUAGCCCAAUCCUAAGCAUAUUUUCGGAUCAAUCUCUCCUGGCCCCAACCAAAUGACCCCUUUAUUUCGACCCGGUCGGGAUCCGUUUUCGCGACCCGCCCCCACCUUCUUUUAAUCUUGGCCGUUGAUCUCAAAUGAUCAAUGACCCAAAAUAAAACCCUCACUCUCCUUAUAUCCUUCACCCAAAUCCUAGAGACCAUUUCCCCCACCUAGCCACCUCUG
rnacentral:lncRNA from 1 species